rnacentral:rRNA from 1 species
CAGCAGGCGCGCAAAUUACCCACUCCCGGCACGGGGAGGUAGUGACGAAAAAUAACGAUACGGGACUCAUCCGAGGCCCCGUAAUCGGAAUGAGUAUACUCUAAAUCCUUAUACGAGUAUCAAUUGGAGGGCAAGUCUGGUGCCAGCAGCCGCGGUAAUUCCAGCUCCAAUAGCGUAUAUUAAAGUUGUUGCGGUUAAAAAGCUCGUAGUUGGAUCUGUGUCCCGCACCGUCGGUUCACCGCCUGUCGGUGUUCAACUGGCGUGUAUGCGGGACGUCCUGCCGGUGGCGGUCCGGUUCCCGGUGGGCACGUAGGGGUCGUCCUUGCCUUGCUUGCGUCGUCCCCGAAGGCCUUCUCGGUGUUUCCGGCCGCCUUUUACAUCCCGUCGCGGUGCUCUUUACCGAGUGUCGAGGCGGGCCGGCACGUUUACUUUGAACAAAUUAGAGUGCUUUAAGCAGGCCCUGUCCCGCCUGUAUGUUGUGUGCAUGGAAUAAUGGAAUAGGACCUCGGUUCUAUUUUGUUGGUUUUCGGAAUCUGAGGUAAUGAUCAAUGGGGACAGGCGGGGGCAUUCGUAUUGCGACGUUAGAGGUGAAAUUCUUGGAUCGUCGCAAGACGGACCGAAGCGAAAGCAUUUGCCAAGUAUGUUCUCGUCGAUCAAGAACGAAAGUUAGAGGUUCGAAGGCGAUCAGAUACCGCCCUAGUUCUAACCAUAAACUAUGCCUGCCAGCGAUCCGCCGAAGUUCCUCCGAUGACUCGGCGGGCAGCUUCCGGGAAACCAGAGCUUUUGGGUUCCGGGGGAAGUAUGGUUGCAAAGCUGAAACUUAAAGGAAUUGACGGAAGGGCACCACCAGGAGUGGAGCCUGCGGCUUAAUUUGACUCAACACGGGAAAACUCACCAGGCCCGGACACCGGAAGGAUUGACAGAUUGAGAGCUCUUUCUUGAUUCGGUGGGUGGUGGUGCAUGGCCGUUCUUAGUKGGUGGAGCGAUUUGUCUGGUUAAUUCCGAUAACGAACGAGACUCUAGCCUACUAACUAGGCGUACCCGGUAUCCACAAUCGUGCUACCGGCGAUCAAAUUUCUUCUUAGAGGGACAGGCGGCUUCUAGCCGCACGAGACUGAGCAAUAACAGGUCUGUGAUGCCCUUAGAUGUCCUGGGCCGCACGCGCGCUACACUGAAGGAAUCAGCGUGUCUUCCCUGUCCGAAAGGACCGGGUAACCCGCUGAACCUCCUUUGUGCUAGGGAUUGGGGCUUGCAAUUGUUCCCCAUGAACGAGGAAUUCCCAGUAAGCGCGAGUCAUAAGCUCGCGUUGAUUACGUCCCUGCCCUUUGUACACACCGCCCGUCGCUACUACCGAUUGAAUGAUUUAGUGAGGUCUUCGGACUGGUGCGCGGAGGCCGCUUCGCGGUCUCCGAUGUUGCCGGAAAGAUGACCAAACUUGAUCAUUUAGAGGAAGUAAAAGUCGUAACAAGGUUUCCGUAGGUGAAC